rnacentral:lncRNA from 1 species
UUCCAUUUGGAAAGAAAAUGGCUGAGAAGAGUACAGUUAUCUUUUUCACCUACUCCCAAGACACUUGAAUGAGAUACUCCUUCAAAAUUGAAAAAGAUGCUCCCUUCACACGGAAGAAGUCAGCCACCUGCUUUCAGCCAAAAUCCAAAAAUCUACAUAAACUGCAACUUAUGCAAGAAGUAAAGGGUCCAAGGUGCCUAUCUUCUGGCUGAGAUUUCCAACCCAAUGGCCCAUCUCUCCUCAGAUGCAAUCUUGGUAAACUGAGUUCUCUCUGUAAACCUGACUUCU